GAGAGAUUAGUUAAAUUAUAAUAUAAGAUUGUCAGUCUUAGGUUACUAGUAAAGUUAGUAUUUCUUA
rnacentral:tRNA from 1 species